GAAAGUGUGAUACCAACCGCAUUUGCAAGCAGAGUGAUGGAAGGUCAUGUGUUCUUAGAAAAAAGAAAAAAAAGAAGACGUUCCAGUUCCAUACAACUGAGCAGUUGAAGGGAAGGACAUCACUGUUGGCCAGCUACCCUUCUUUCCAGGCAUUUCAUCUGGUCAUUCUGAGAGUUUCCUGGAAGCUGAGUCAUCCAUCACCAACACCUCUGCUGCUGAACCUUGCGAUAGGAAAUAGAAGGGGAAUUAUAAACAACAAAAGCAGAAAUUUCUCUUCUCACUUUGAAGAUGAGUAAUUAUUGUAUUCAUUUACCAAAGUAAUUACUCUGUGUGGAACUUCUUAAUUUGCAAACACUAGGAACUCAUCAAUCAAGGACAAUAAAAAAAAGGACGGGCUAUUAUGAAAGAA